GACGAACGCUGGCGGCGUGCUUAACACAUGCAAGUCGAACGGAAAGGCCCUGCUUUUGCGGGGUGCUCGAGUGGCGAACGGGUGAGUAACACGUGAGUAACCUGCCCUUGACUUUGGGAUAACUUCAGGAAACUGGGGCUAAUACCGGAUAGGAGCUCCUGCUGCAUGGUGGGGGUUGGAAAGUUUCGGCGGUUGGGGAUGGACUCGCGGCUUAUCAGCUUGUUGGUGGGGUAGUGGCUUACCAAGGCUUUGACGGGUAGCCGGCCUGAGAGGGUGACCGGCCACAUUGGGACUGAGGUACGGCCCAGACUCCUACGGGAGGCAGCAGUGGGGAAUAUUGCACAAUGGGCGGAAGCCUGAUGCAGCAACGCCGCGUGCGGGAUGAAGGCCUUCGGGUUGUAAACCGCUUUCGCCUGUGACGAAGCGUGAGUGACGGUAAUGGGUAAAGAAGCACCGGCUAACUACGUG
rnacentral:rRNA from 1 species